GCGCCCGUAGCUCAACGGAUAGAGCAUCUGACUACGGAUCAGAAGGUUGGGGGUUCGAAUCCCUCCGGGCGCACCG
rnacentral:tRNA from 4 species